AGCGAACGUUAGCGGCGCGCCUAACACAUGCAAGUCGCACGAGAAAGGGAGCAAUCCCCGGUACAGUGGCGCACGGGUGAGUAACACGUAGAUGACUUUCCCUGGAGUGGUGGAUAACCUGCCGAAAGGCGGGCUAAUACAGCAUGGGACCACAUGGUUUUGACCGAGUGGUGAAAGCGGGCCUCUGUUCACAAGCUCGCGCUCUGGGAUGGGUCUGCGUCCCAUCAGCUAGUUGGUGAGGUAAUGGCUCACCAAGGCAUCGACGGGUAGCUGGUCUGAGAGGAUGACCAGCCACACUGGAACUGAGACACGGUCCAGACUCCUACGGGAGGCAGCAGUGGGGAAUCUUGCGCAAUGGGCGAAAGCCUGACGCAGCGACGCCGCGUGGGUGAUGAAGGCC
rnacentral:rRNA from 1 species